CAAGGCUGUGAUGACCUGCUGAUCGGAUGACGGAAGCGUCCAAACGGAGUUCAACGCAGUAGGCAGAAGCGAAAUAGGCAUAGCUUGUAGCCAAUAAGAAGCGGAGAGAUUAUAUUUUUCAUUUCAUCUAGCUAUGUAAAAAAGUGACUUUAUCAACAUAAUUACCAUUAGCUACAGCUGAGCUGUUGAUAUCGCCCAUUGCGAAUAUUUGGCUACUGCUACAUGGCUAUGAUCACCACACAAAUGUGUGUUCUUUACCAGUAACGUUAACACAGCGAGAUGGACAGACUGAACAUCAUCGGAGUAAGUUAGACAACGCCUUAAGUAUAAACUAGCUGGGUGCGCUUGAAUCCGUUAACUCCGGAUAUGGCAUCGGCAGAGGGCUCGCUUCGUGCGCUGGAAAGUCUAAUGUCGGAGUUCUUCCAUAGCCGCACCUCCAAUGAGCGCAAGAGGGAGAUCGAGGAGCUGUUGAAUAAUUUUGCUCAGCAGACAGGGGCUUGGCGGUACUGUCUCUAUUUCCUCUCCAACACCCACAAUGAGUAUAUCAUGAUGUACAGUCUGACAGUAUUUGAGAACCUUAUCAACAAGAUGUGGCUGGGCGUGUCCUCACAGGACAAGAUAGAGAUCCGCUGCUGCCUGCCCAAACUGCUGCUGUCCCAGCACAAGACCCUGCCCUACUUCAUCCGCAACAAGCUGUGCAAGGUCAUCGUGGACAUCGGCAAGCAGGACUGGCCUGUCUACUACCAGGACUUCUUCACCAACAUUCUGCAGCUGAUCCAGUCCCCCACCCUAGCCCCUCUGGGACUGAUCCUCCUGAAGACCACAUUGGAGGAGCUAGCGUGCCCUAGGGAGGACCUCAGCGUGUCCCGCAAGGAGGAGCUUCACAAGCUGCUACUGGAGGAGGUCCCCACGGUGCUCGGCCUGCUGGCGGGUACUCUGGAGGCAGUCAGGGAUAAGCACAGCAUCCCUGCCACCACUCCUCCUCCUUCUCCCACAUCUGGAGAAAGUGGGGAGCUGGUGACUAGCAUGUUCCAGGGUCCACCGUACUCCAAACAGCAUCUCCCCCAGCUGGACCAGGAGAGCCUGCAGCUCUGCUCCCUUGCCCUGGAGUGCCUGGCCCAUCUCUUCAGCUGGAUCCCCCUGUCCUCCAACAUCACGCUUUCUUUGCUGGCUACCAUUUUCCACUUCGCCCAGUUCGGCUGUGACCUGCACAAGGGCAAACCAGCUCCCUCCAUCUACUCCUUGGCCCCUGCCCCCGGAACGCAGGAGCAGCGGGGCGGUUCGGUCGACAGGGCACAGCUGGGGGUUCUGGCCAUGACCUGCGUCAACGAGCUGGUGUCAAAGAACUGUGUGCCCCUGGAGUUCGGGGAGUACCUCCUGAGAAUGUUCCAGCAGACCUUCUUACUGCUGCAGAAACUGACACGGGAGAACACCGGCUACAGCGCCAAGAGCCGGCUGGAGGAGCUCGAUGAAAGUUAUGUGCAGAAGUUCACAGACUUCCUGAGGCAGUUCAUCAGUGUUCAUCUGAAGCGGAUAGAGUCUAACACGCAGUUCCCCACGGUAGACUUUCUGGCACUGCUGUUCAAGUACACCUUCAGUCAGCCCACUCUGGAGGGAUACUUCUCUUGUCUUGAUAUCUGGGUCAUCUUCCUGGACUACCUGACCGCAAAAAUACAAAGCAGAUUCACCGACAGAGAUGGCAUGCUGAACAAGUAUAAGGACGUCUUGGUCCUCCUACUGGGGGAGGUGCUGAGUCGUGUCCAGUAUAGGUAUAAUCAGCUUCAGCUUGAGGAACUGGAUGAUGAGACCCUGGAUGAUGAUCAACAGACCGAGCGACAGCAAUACUUGCAUCAGAGUCUGGAGAUAGUUGCUAAGGUGACAGAGCUUCUACCAUCUCAUGCUUUCUCUACACUGUAUCCAGUGCUGCAGGAGAACUUGAAUAUGUACCUGGGGCUGCAACAGUUUGUUGUCCCUGCAAACUCAGGACAGAGGCUGAACAUCACCUCAGAAAGUGAUUGCCGGCGGCUGCACUGUGCUCUGCGGGACCUGAGCUCCCUCCUCCAGGCCAUCGGGCGGCUGGGCGGGCACUUUAUCGGGGUCGACUUUGCCGCCCGCUUCAAUGAUGCGCUCACCGUGGUGGAAAGGCUGGUUGAAGUGGCCUGCUACAGUUCCCUGACCGGCGUACAUGCCCUGGAGACAGCCAUGGCCUCUGUGCUGAGGCCCGAUCUCAUUGAUGUCCACGCCCAGUCUCUGGCAGCAGUGCAGGCCUACUCCCAUUGGCUGGCUCAGUUCCACGGCGAGGUGCAGAGGCAGAACGAGACGCGCUUCAUCAGUCUGGUCACCUCCGUCGUGGAUGCCAUCGCCCCCCUCAUCAGCGCCAAGGUCCCAGAGAAGCUGCUGCUGUCGGCCUGUCACCUGAUGGUGUCACUGACCACUACAGUGCGGCCAGCUUUUCUGCUAACUCUGCCUGCCGUGCAGAACCUCUUCAACAUGGUAACCGACGGCUCUGCUGCCAGGCUCCCCCCGGAGGGCCUGGUGUUGGUGUGCAGAGGCCUGUCCAACAUGCUUCUGCUCCCCUGGCCCGGCCUGCCCGAGAGCGAGCAGCAGUGGCCCGCCCGCUCCGCCAACCACAGCAGCCUGCUGGCAGUGCUCACCCGCCAGUACCGGCAGCUGAGGGACCCUGCCAGCACACAACAUGGCCGCCUGGGUCCGGAGGAAGUGAAAGCAGUGGUGCACAAGACGCUGUGGAUAUUAAGGGACAUCGUGGACAGCGUCUCAGGGGAGUCCACCAAGUCGCGGCAGAUCUGCUACCAGUCUCUGCAGGAAACUGUGCAGGUUUCUCUGGGCCUGUUCCCUGCUUUUGUCCAUAAGCCAGACGUGACCGAGGACAUGCUGAGUUUCUUCCUGACGCUCUUCCGGGGCCUGAGGGCUCAGAUGGGACUGCCCUUCACAGAGCAAAUCAUCCAGACCUUCCUCAACCUGUUCACCAGGGAGCAGCUGGCAGAGAGCGUUAUGCAGGACGGCGGCGCUGGUUGUCAGGUGGUGGAGAGGUUCCUGAAGGUCCUGCAGGUGGUGGUGCAGGAGCCCGGCCAGGCCUUCAAACCCUUCCUCCCCAAAAUCAUCUCCCUCUGCAUGGAGCAGCUCUAUCCCAUGUUGGCAGAGCAUUCCUCCCCGGACGUGAAGGCGGAGCUGUUCGAGCUGCUCUACCAAGUGCUGCACCACAACUGGAGGCAUUUCUUCAAGAGCUCUGUGCUGGCCAGCAUGCGCAGGAACGCAUCCGAGGAGCCUGUGGAGAACCAGGCCCAGUUCACCGCCGCCAUGCAGGUGUGUGGGUCCCGCCAUGCAGGCGUUCGGGCAGUCUUUCCUCCAGCCAGACAUUCACAUAUUCAAACAGAAUCUGUUCUAUCUGGAGUCCCUCAACAGCAAACACAAGUUGUACCACAAGAAGCUGUUCUGUUCCACCAUGCUGUUCCACUUCAUCAACGUGCUGCUGCAGGUGCUCGUGCGCAGGAGCCACGACCUGCUGCAGGAGGAGAUUGGGUUAGCCGUGUACAACAUGGCCUCCGUGGACUUUGACAGCUUCUACUCCACCUUCUUGCCUCAGUUCCUCAGCGGUUGCCAAGGCAUCGAUGCCAACCAGCGCAAUGCUCUGGGGUGCAGCUUCAAGAUGGAGCGGGACCUACCCUCCUUCACUCAGAGUGUGCAAAGGCUGGUAAACGACCUGCGCUACUACAGGCUGUGCAGUGGCAGUCUGCCCCUGGGGAGCGUGAAGCUAUAGCAGAUGGUCUGCCCUGCGCCAGCACCCUGGACUCUACUGCAGCCCCCCUACUCCUCUCCCUGACAGGCUCACCUCUGCCUGGGGAGAAGCUUCCAGAAGUAACACCCUGCAGCUUUGGAACCUUAUUACCUACACAUGUCAGUGGACUGCCCACCACCUUUGCCCAAUUUGAUGUUUCAGGUGUUCAGGUACCGAAAAGGCAUUUGGACGCUCCAGUGCCCACUCCCGUACCCUGCAGCUGGGCUGUGUGGAGUUUGGGCACAUUCCUCCACACAUUCCUUUGAGCUCACUUUGAGCUCUGAAAGAUGAAUUCCACUGGUACAGAAAUGGUUCUUAAAUUAAAUGUGUUGUGCAUACUUUUCUUUUUGGAAAAAUGCAAAUAUGGAUUUUAUUUGUUUUACUGGCCAUUUUGAAUUGAGGUUUUUUUUAUUAUUUUAAUUUUUUAACUUAUGGAUAGUUUUUAUUUUUAUUAAGGUUUAUUGAAUACAUUGAGGACUGAUUCUUUUUUUGCUUCAGGAAAUUUCUAAAUGUUCUCCAAACAGGGAAUUCUGGGUAAAAUUAGUCUUAAGAUGGCCGGACAAUGCCAAUGUGCCUUUCAAUCUUCCAGAUGGGAGCGGAAAUGGGCAAAUACUGUCAGUGUUGCACAAUGAUUCCCAUCAAGGGAUUUAUUUAUUUUGGAUGAGCUCCCCACUUUUAAGAGAGGACUAAAUGUUCAGACUUCUGUGAACAACAAUUGGAUACCUGUGUACUUUCUGCUGCGGUUCUGUUUACUGUAUGUGGAAAGCUUUUAAGUCCUUGAUGGCACAUCUUUUAUGCUGACUAACCCAGUGAAUAAACUAUAUGAAAAAAAGAUGGUCUGAAGUUGUGGGAAACAUGUCAUGGUAAAAUUUCUGGUGGUGUUUAUGGGAGACAUAUUGCGAGAUAUGCCUUCUGCACCAGCUGCCAGUUUUCAAAGGUUUUAGGAUAAUGCAAAAUUAUGUUGUCGACAAUGCUCUCCAUUAUUGCUUCUAUUAAGUACUUACUUCAACAGGCCCGUCUGGUGGCUGGGCCCAUCACGCAUCUUACAAGUCUGAAUAAUUUAAUCCAGUCAAUUGCCACAAAUUUUGGGAAGAUAAUGAUGCUGUGCAAUUGUGCAUUAUCCUAGCUGUCAUAUGUCUUGUUGCAUGCUCACCUUUGUAUGGGAGAUUAUAUCAAAUGUCUUGUGGAGGAUGCGGUCUAUUCCUUCACCAUACCGAGGAGACUCUAGCUCAGCUCUUAUCAUAUGGUAAAAGGAACAUGAUGGUAUGUUUGGCACAUGAGAAUUGUGUGAAAGUUAACUGAAACCGCAGGUGGGUGUCACGUAUAGGAGGUGGUGUCACUGGUCAUUGUAUUUUGGACGGAUAUGAGACACUGAUGUCUGCAGCAAUGUCACAAAUCUCUGACCGUGCCAGUCUUUGGGGAAUUCAUAAAAAUAAAAGAAAAGGCAUAUAAAAUCAAAUAAGUAGUUCAGGCACAUGACUGGCUUCUGAAAUGGUAGAUUUUAUUUCAUUAUAACUGAAAAUAAAUAACACUUUAUUUAAAAUAUAAUUAUAAAAAUACAUACCUGAUGGGUAUGGUGUGUGUGAUCUCUAAUAGUGAUGGGGUAUUCCCAAACUGCCGCUCUGAAUGAGGCCCCAGUAGGAUUGUGUUAAUGUGAACGUAACAGAAUAAAGACUUGUAGUGGGUCAAUCUAA